AGUAGUACUUACAUAACUUUAUGAAUUGCAAAAUACAACACUGGAUCAAAGAAGAUAAAUAGUACAUACUAGUAGCAUGCACUGAAACAAAAGGAACACAAUUUUCCAGCCAAGCUACUGUAAACUCGGACUGUACCAACUCACUCCCCAAGUGAAUUCAGUUUCAAUACUAUCAUAAAAUUUUUUGGAUCUUCCAAAUUUCCGGCCAUCUAAGUAGAAAGGAUGAGAAAAAUCACACAUGGUGGUUCUACUAUGUCCAGAAUUCUCAACACAAAACAUGUCGUCGUGGUCAAUUCCUCCUAACUCCACAAAAUAAAUGCAGUUUGCUUCCGACCCGUUGGAAUUACUCACUGGAAAGGAAAAGGAACAGCCUCGGCUUGUUACAAAUAAUAUUUGAUUCCCCAAACUCUGUACCUCGAUAAAGCUUUCACCAUUCUCCGGAUCGAUCUUGUAAACUAGAAAAUCAUGAGUCCUUGUCCAGGUAUUCAAAUCGGUUUUCAUUUGAUCCUUUAUUUGACGGAUCAACAAGACUUCGUUGCUGGUUGUUGAUUCUAUCAAAUAUGACUCGUCUUUGACCUUGACAUCCAAAAAGUCACCUUCACCCCAGCAGUUGAAUGAACCCUUUCGUGAUUUUUCUUUGUCAUAAACCAACUUCAAUUCCAGCUCAUCACCAUCUCCGAGGCAUAAUGUGCGAGUUACAACGUGUCCAGACUUACUGUUUUUGACAGUGUUUUCGACUAAGACAUAUAGCAUGCCACAAGACGAAAACAGUAGGCAUGAAGGACACGUUUUUCUAUCCCACAUCCGAGAUAUUUUCCAACCUUUUUUUGGCCUGCACACACCAAUUUCCCCAGAAGAAAAAAUUG
rnacentral:sRNA from 1 species